rnacentral:rRNA from 1 species
UACAGAGGUCCCAAGCGUUGUUCGGAUUCACUGGGCGUAAAGGGUGCGUAGGCGGUGUGUCAAGUCAGGCGUGAAAGCCCCGGGCUCAACCUGGGAACCGCGCUUGAGACUGGCACGCUAGAGUUCGGGAGAGGAUGGUGGAAUUCCCAGUGUAGAGGUGAAAUUCGUAGAUAUUGGGAAGAACACCGAUGGCGAAGGCAGCCAUCUGGACCGACACUGACGCUGAGGCGCGAAAGCGUGGGGAGCAAACAGG